GCAACGUUAGCUCAAUUGGUAGAGCAAGGAGCUUUUAACUCCGAGGUUAUAGAUUCGAUUUCUAUACGUUGCACCA
rnacentral:tRNA from 3 species